rnacentral:lncRNA from 1 species
ACAAGGAGGCAUCAGACUGGUAGUAUUCAAGGCAACUUCAUGGAACUCAUGGGCAUCAAGAACCAUAGUUGUAAAUUAAUGUAGAAUAGAGGAACCAGCCCUCUGAGUAAGACAUAAAGAUGUAAAGAGGAGUCAGCAAUGAAAUCUCUGCAGCUCUGUAUCUCGCAUCACAGCCAAAAGCUCUAGGUUUGAUAUUCUACCUCAAGUGUCUAAGAUGAAAAUUCCAAAAUCUUGGAUCUUGAACUGCUUUCUACAUGGGUGAGUUUUAAUUCCAGAAAGAUUAUAAAUAAUAUACAUAUGACAAACUGAAUUGAAUCCAUGCUCUUAAAAUUUUGUGUACAGAUUAGGAAUAGUCUCUAUAUAUCUUUUAUUUAAAGGUUUGCAAUGGUAAGAGAAUUGGGCAUAUUAGAGAGUUCAGUGGUUACUAAUUUUAAAUGUGUAGUUGAAUUAAUGAUUAGAUUUGAGAAUUUUAUAUUGAAAGUUAUAUGAGAAUUUUGCAAAACUUAUAAAUUAUAUUGGAAUAUUUAGGAGAACUUCAGUUUUACUAUAUUUAUAUGAUUAUUUUGAUGUUUUAUCUAAGAUCUUGAGAAGAUUUGUUUGUGAGAAAAUUGAGGUAUUUAAAAUGAAACUCAAAUAUAAAUUUAUCAAUUCAGUUUAAAAUAUGCAAAGAAACUUAAUAAACUUAUAAAUGCUCCCUUGAAAAUGAC